AACAUGUUACUUCAAGCUACUUCUCCAAUAUAACUGACCAAUACAUAAAGUUUCUCACAAGAUCGAGUUAUAAACAGCUGUUCUUAAGUUAGAUUAUACAUUACUUAAUGGUCUUAGAUUAUUUAGAUAAACUUGUAAAUGUUAUUGCAUCUCUACUGUGCAACCCAUGUACCGUAUAAACUUUCACAUUAAUCAAGAUGAAAGAUCA
rnacentral:lncRNA from 1 species